CCGAGUUAUCAACUCCCAACCCAUGUGAACUAUACCUACUGUUGCUUCGGCGGGAUUGCCCGGCGCCUCGUGCCCGGAUCAGGCCCCCUAGAACCUUAACUCUUUUUAAUUAGUAUCUUCUGAGUAGGUUUACAAAAUGAAUAA
rnacentral:misc_RNA from 1 species